GAUGAACGCUGGCGGCGUGCCUAAUACAUGCAAGUCGAGCGAACAGAUGAGGAGCUUGCUCCUCUGACGUUAGCGGCGGACGGGUGGGUAACACGUGGAUAACCUACCUAUAAGACUGGGAUAACUUCGGGAAACCGGAGCUAAUACCGGAUAAUAUAUUGAACCGCAUGGUUCAAUAGUGAAAGACGGUUUUGCUGGCACUUAUAGAUGGAUCCGCGCCGCAUUAGCUAGUUGGUAAGGUAACGGCUUACCAAGGCAACGAUGCGUAGCCGACCUGAGAGGGUGAUCGGCCACACUGGAACUGAGACACGGUCCAGACUCCUACGGGAGGCAGCAGUAGGGAAUCUUCCGCAAUGGGCGAAAGCCUGACGGAGCAACGCCGCGUGAGUGAUGAAGGUCUUCGGAUCGUAAAACUCUGUUAUUAGGGAAGAACAAAUGUGGAAGUAACUAUGCACGUCUUGACGGUACCUAAUCAGAAAGCCACGGCUAACUACGUG
rnacentral:rRNA from 1 species